UACGUAGGUGGCGAGCGUUGUCCGGAUUUACUGGGCGUAAAGGGUGCGUAGGUGGUGAGGUAAGUCGGAUGUGAAAGCUCGGAGCUCAACUCCGAAAUGGCAUUGGAAACUACCUUGCUCGAGGGUUGGAGGGGGGACUGGAAUGCUUGGUGUAGCAGUGAAAUGCGUAGAUAUCAAGCGGAACACCAGUGGCGAAGGCGAGUCCCUGGACAACUCCUGACACUGAGGCACGAAAGCUAGGGGAGCAAACAGG
rnacentral:rRNA from 1 species